rfam:Wickerhamomyces anomalus NRRL Y-366-8 unplaced genomic scaffold WICANscaffold_1, whole genome shotgun sequence.
UCCGAUGUAGUGUAGGGGCUAUCACGGUACACUCUCACUGUACAAACCCGAGUUCGAUUCUCGGCUUCGGAA